AGAGUUUGAUCCUGGCUCAGAUUGAACGCUGGCGGCAUGCCUUACACAUGCAAGUCGAACGGCAGCACGGGCUUCGGUCUGGUGGCGAGUGGCGAACGGGUGAGUAAUGUAUCGGAACGUACCUUUCAGUGGGGGAUAACGUAGCGAAAGUUACGCUAAUACCGCAUAUUCUGUGAGCAGGAAAGCAGGGGAUCGCAAGACCUUGCGCUGAUUGAGCGGCCGAUAUCAGAUUAGCUAGUUGGUGGGGUAAAGGCCUACCAAGGCUACGAUCUGUAGCGGGUCUGAGAGGAUGAUCCGCCACACUGGAACUGAGACACGGUCCAGACUCCUACGGGAGGCAGCAGUGGGGAAUUUUGGACAAUGGGGGCAACCCUGAUCCAGCCAUGCCGCGUGAGUGAAGAAGGCCUUCGGGUUGUAAAGCUCUUUCGGCCGGGAAGAAAUCGCAUAGGUUAAUACCCUGUGUGGAUGACGGUACCGGAAUAAGAAGCACCGGCUAACUACGUGCCAGCAGCCGCGGUAAUACGUAGGGUGCGAGCGUUAAUCGGAAUUACUGGGCGUAAAGCGUGCGCAGGCGGUUUCGUAAGACAGAGGUGAAAUCCCCGGGCUCAACCUGGGAACUGCCUUUGUGACUGCGAAGCUAGAGUACGGCAGAGGGGGGUGGAAUUCCACGUGUAGCAGUGAAAUGCGUAGAGAUGUGGAGGAACACCGAUGGCGAAGGCAGCCCCCUGGGCCGAUACUGACGCUCAUGCACGAAAGCGUGGGUAGCAAACAGGAUUAGAUACCCUGGUAGUCCACGCCCUAAACGAUGUCAACUAGGUGUUGGGUGGGUAAAACCAUUUAGUACCGUAGCUAACGCGUGAAGUUGACCGCCUGGGGAGUACGGCCGCAAGGUUAAAACUYAAAUGAAUUGACGGGGACCCGCACAAGCGGUGGAUGAUGUGGAUUAAUUCGAUGCAACGCGAAAAACCUUACCUACCCUUGACAUGUUCAGAAUCCCGGAGAGAUUUGGGAGUGCCCGAAAGGGAGCUGGAACACAGGUGCUGCAUGGCUGUCGUCAGCUCGUGUCGUGAGAUGUUGGGUUAAGUCCCGCAACGAGCGCAACCCUUGUCGUUAAUUGCCAUCAUUUAGUUGGGCACUUUAACGAGACUGCCGGUGACAAACCGGAGGAAGGUGGGGAUGACGUCAAGUCCUCAUGGCCCUUAUGGGUAGGGCUUCACACGUCAUACAAUGGUCGGUACAGAGGGUUGCCAAGCCGCGAGGUGGAGCCAAUCCCAGAAAGCCGAUCGUAGUCCGGAUUGCAGGCUGCAACUCGCCUGCAUGAAGUCGGAAUCGCUAGUAAUCGCGGAUCAGCAUGUCGCGGUGAAUACGUUCCCGGGUCUUGUACACACCGCCCGUCACACCAUGGGAGCGGGUUCCGCCAGAAGUAGGUAGCCUAACCGCAAGGGGGGCGCUUACCAUGGCGGGGUUCGUGACUGGGGUGAAGUCGUAACAAGGUAGCCGUAGGGGAACCUGCGGCUGGAUCACCUCCUUUCUAGAGAAGCAUCCUGGCACCCACAACUUAUCGGUUGUUCAUGAGCAGCAAACAGACGAGGGUCUGUAGCUCAGUCGGUUAGAGCACCGUCUUGAUAAGGCGGGGGUCGUUGGUUCGAUUCCAACCAGACCCACCAACGUUUGAAACGGGGGAUUAGCUCAGCUGGGAGAGCACCUGCUUUGCAAGCAGGGGGUCGUCGGUUCGAUCCCGUCAUCCUCCACCAAAACCCAAAGAUAAGCAGCGGUGUUUAUCUUUGGCUUUUGAGAAAUCAAAUUGCUACGCUCUUUAACAAAACGGAAGAAGGUUGUGUAUCGCAGUGAUGAGCUGCUGAUACACGUUGUGAUUGCAUCUGUUCUCGUAUUACAGCUAGUACGAGACAGCACAAAUGAGUUGCCUGUAGCCGGGUCUCUGCCGAGACCCCAAGGUUAUAGGAUCAAGCGACUAAGUGCAUGUGGUGGAUGCCUUGGCGAUCACAGGCGAUGAAGGACGUGCAAGCCUGCGAAAAGCGGGGGGGAGCUGGCAAUGAAGCUUUGAUCCCCCGAUGUCCGAAUGGGGCAACCC
rnacentral:sRNA from 1 species